CACGUAGGGCGCAAGCGUUUGUCCGGAAUUAUUGGGCGUAAAGAGCUCGUAGGCGGUCUGUUGCGUCCGCUGUGAAAACUCGGGGCUUAACCCCGAGCCUGCAGUGGAUACGGGCAGACUAGAGGUAGGUAGGGGAGAAUGGAAUUCCCGGUGUAGCGGUGAAAUGCGCAGAUAUCGGGAGGAACACCGGUGGCGAAGGCGGGUCUCUGGGCCGAUACUGACGCUGAGGAGCGAAAGCGUGGGGAGCGAACAGG
rnacentral:rRNA from 1 species